AAUUGUAGCUGGACGUUUAUCUGUUGUUUUCGUGUGUCAUAUCUCGGAAUGGACUAUUUCCAUCGCACUCUAGUCACACAACUUGGUGCUAUACACAUUUUCUACCAUGUAAAGGGGAAUAGCUUACGAAAGUAGUAUGCAGUAAAAUGAGAAGGCUUGUAAUUUUUAUGUGAAGUCAAGUCUCAGCAAGGGUAAUUGAAAAAUUAGACACUGCAUUAUCCACUUCACUGCAGAAGUGUCAGUCGGUGUCACCCUACACAAUCAAGAUUGUUUUUUGUGUCCAUCCGUUAAGUCAAAGAAGGAAGUCCCUGUGGUAGACAAUAAUCAAGAUGUGAAAACCUCAUCAGCACAGGAGGAAAAGCCGAGCAUCUUUAUUUUGACAUUAUUCACAGACAUCAGUAUCCAUCCUGAGGUAUUGAACAACAUCAUCCGUGGCUGAUGAGGACUGUGACAUGUCAAUGGAGGGCUGCAUCUUGUUGUGGCUAGCAACUUGGGACUUUGCAGUGGUUGAAUAGACGAAUUCUUGUCGAAUACCCUUGAUU